rnacentral:rRNA from 1 species
AUACGGAGGAUGCGAGCGUUAUCCGGAUUUAUUGGGUUUAAAGGGAGCGUAGGUGGGAUAUUAAGUCAGCUGUGAAAGUUUGGGGCUCAACCUUAAAAUUGCAGUUGAUACUGGUUUCCUUGAGUACGGUACAGGUGGGCGGAAUUCGUGGUGUAGCGGUGAAAUGCUUAGAUAUCACGAAGAACUCCGAUCGCGAAGGCAGCUCACCGGGCCGGAACUGACACUGAUGCUCGAAAGUGCGGGUAUCAAACAGGAUUAGAUACCCUGGUAGUCCGCGCAGUAAACGAUGAAUACUCGCUGUUUGCGAUACACGGUAAGCGGCCAAGCGAAAGCGUUAAGUAUUCCACCUGGGGAGUACGCCGGCAACGGUGAAACUCAAAUGAAUUGACGGGG